AGUUAUGGUGUAUUUGUUUAUGAUCUUUAACCCUCCUUUUAUUCAAUAAAGUUUCUAAAUCAACGGCAGUGCAUUAAUGUGUGGCGAUUUAUCCAAACUAUCAAUGAGUAUGUCCUUUUUAUCUCUAAAGCUUAUAUGUUCAACUCCUACGGUCAUCCGGUGCCUGAGUCAGUGGAUGAGUGAAACCAGAUAAUAAUAUUUUGCGAUGCUUUAUACAGGAGAAAAGACUUGACAGAGAACCUGAAGCAGCUACAGUGCAGGACACUUAUUUUUGUUGGUGAGAAUUCCCAGUUCCAUGCUGAAGCUGUGCACAUGACUGCAAAGCUUGAUAGGCGAUAUAGCGCUCUUGUGGAGGUACAAGCUUGUGGCUCGGUUGUGACAGAGGAGCAACCACACGCAAUGCUGAUACCAAUGGAGUACUUUCUCAUGGGAUAUGGACUGUACAGGCCAAGCCAGAUAAACUGUAGCCCUCGUAGCCCUCUGAAUCCGUUUUGUAUAUCACCAGAGCUCCUCUCUCCUGAGAGCAUGGGGGUUAAGCUAAAGCCAAUCAAGACACGAGCCAACCUUAAAGCAUAGGAAUAGGUGAUGAGAAUGCGUAGGAACUGAUGCGCAUCCCUUGAUUUUUUUGUGCUGAAGUGACAUAGCUGUUGUUUCCGUGAUGUACAUAAGACAAGAGGUUAGUCGGGUUAGGGUUCGGUGGGUCGUCGAUUCCAUUGAUUUCUAGACUUUAAAACAGUUGUACAUUGUCACAGAUUUAUUUGUUGAAGGGAGAAGAAAUAAUAAGGGGAGAUGAGAUGUUGCCAAAAGUUA